GAGAGGGAUCCUGGCAUGGGUGAGUGGAAUGGAGACAGUGAGAGAAAGAGGGAGGGAGGGGUUGGAUGGUGAACAGAGCCGAGUAAGGUCCCCUCAGUUCAUGAAUCACUCUGGAUCGUUCGUUCCCUUUUGCAUGUCGGAUCAAUGGCUGGAUUUCGAAAGCUAAGUUCCAUUUUUUAUUCCAUUAUUUGCUGUUAGCAUAGAUGUGAACUGUUGGGUUAGGUUUUGGGGGUUCCUUUGUUUCGUUUUCUCUCAUUUUCUUUCAUUUUGGGGAUGCAUCUCUCUGUUCUGUGCAUUGCGUUCUGUUUUAAGGUCAGUUUUCUUCUUCUUUUUUGUGGCUUUUUUUUGGGGGGUUUUCAGUUUGUUCAUCUUUCACUCUGUAUUUAGAUUUUUCGUUCGUGAAUGACUGAAUGGAUAUUGGGUUUUGGUGGUUGAAAAUAUGUUUUUUUUUUCUGCUUAAGCUUCUUGCUCAUUUUCCUGGGAUUUUUGGUUUUCGGUUGCAAGGUUAAAGAGAACACUCAAAUCUCAGGUUAAAUGGGUAUUGGGUUUUGGUGGUUUAAAAUAUGAUUUUUUUUCUGCUUAAGCUUCUUGCUCAUUUUUCUGGGAUUUGUGGUUUUUGGUUGCAAGGGUAAAGAGAAUGCUAAAAUCUUAGAAAUUGGUAUUGGCUAUUGUAUUAAUGCAUUUGCAUUUUCGUUGGUUUGCAGUGUAGGUGCAUUGAGACCUAAAAAUAUUUGCGAGAACUUCAUAAAUUUUUCUGAGGCUCCGAUCCUUGAAGGGUGGUUCUGACGCGGAGGAGAAGCUGUAAGAGGUUAUGAUCUUGCUGCACUUAAGUGCAGCUGUUCUUCAACUCAUAUAAACUCUUUGAAAUUUCGAUCGUUGGAGGAAGAAGUUGGUUCCUUGAUGUUUUGAGGGUAAAUAAAAUGAUGAAUGAGAUUGAUCGAAGAGAACAACAAAUUCUAGGAGGAGUUUUGGUCAAAAAUUUAAGGGAACUGGUUAAGGCACGAAACGAAGAAAAAAAUCGAGGGACAUUAGUGAGAUAUUUCGAUGCUCCCCCGGGAUCUGGUACAAGAGAGCAGUGAAAAUAGAAAAAACAAGGAUGGGUUUGCGUGUUUAUGGUAAAGGUCCGAAUCGGAACAAGUUGGUGGUCCAUACUAUGUAUCGACCUGCAAAUCGUACUAAUCCGCCGAAAGAAAAAGUUCCGAUGAAUGAUAAUGUUUUGCAACGAUUUUUGGGGUUUUUUCGUGGAAUGUUCAAGUUUGAUCGUUCGAAAAAGGUUGGAGUUUUGUUGUUCUUGCUUGCCUCUGCUGCAACAACCUUUUGGGUUCUAAAUGUCUUGAGACGACGUGGGUCAUGGAUAAGAUAAGGGUAGUGUAAAUUUUUUUUGUUUGGUGAUAAGGGCAAUAAUGUAAACAAUUAACCCUUUAACCAUUGUAAGCAUAAAAUGUUGUUGAUACUCUUUUUUGAACUUUUUGGUACACUUUUGUAUCGCACUUUAAUGUUUUUUCGUGACCCUUUUAGCAUCUUAACUAUGAAGUGUUGUUAAUACUC